CUUUCUCCUAGCUGAGUGGAUGUAUUUUGUAGUCCUUUUCCCAAAUUUCACUCCUUUCUCUUCCAGCCCUAUCUCUCUCCUCUGCCCCCCUUCAUCGUUCUCCCACCUCCCAUAUGUAUCUCUUCUUCUUUUCUAAACAUAUGUUAGAUAAUUUUAAUACAAUCAAAAUACCCACAUCCCACUUUUCGAAAAUCCCCAAUUCGAUUCAUCAAUUUUGGAGAAUUUGACCAAGAAUUGAAAUGGGAUUUUCUCGGAUUUCGAGAUGCAUAUGUUCCUGGAAGAAUGCUUGACUAUGAUGAUCAUUCAACGAUUAUCAAUUUCGCUGAAAGAAGGUCGACAUUGACAUGAACAAAAGCUUUUCUAUGAAAUUGAUCGAGGAACUUAGGAAUUCCUUCAAAUAUUAUGGGCUUUGCGAUCAAACCUUUUGAAGAUAAUGAAAUUUUUUCUCAAAUUCCCGAGGCUAAAGGAGAUAUAUCAGCUAUUGGUAGUGAGGCCUUCUUUUUUCCUUUCUACGGGCUCUACCUCACUUAUGGUGGAAUAUUCAGCCUAAUGUUGCGCUAAAGUUUAUGACAGCCAUGGUCGGCCUCUUUAGCCAAGCUACAAAUAGACUUUGCAAGAAGCUAGCUAAACACUACUGCAUCAACUAGAGAAGCAGUGGAAAUGGAAUCACUUUUUUCACGUCUAGCAUUGGAUAUUGUUGGAAAAGCAGUAAUUUAAAUACGAUUUUUAUUCCUUGACAAAUGAUACUGGAAUUAUUGAGUAUGGCUUAGCUGAGGACUUACUAAGGAUCGGGGGAUCAGUCAUGGUUACCUUUAACAUGUAUGAAUUGUGUUAAAUUUUCAAUUAAAUAUUUCUGAUGAAGAAGUAAGAAAAUGAUAUUUGAAUAACAAGAAAAUUAGGGUUUAAUUAGCUUUAAGAAAUUAAUGUAUGAUUAUGUUUGAUCUGAACUUUUUGAUAUGAUAUUGGUCAGUAAGUAACUAAUGGACGACCGAGUUAAUAAUUAAAUAGUAAACCACGCAACCAUUACAACAUUAUUUUCUCUAGGACUAAGUGUCCUUUAAUGGUAAUUCCUAGCCGUGUCUUUUAAAUUGAACACGCACCUCGCUCUGUUUCCCGAUUUUCAAUUCGUCAUGUUUUAUCCAGUUCUUGUUUUAUGUAUAUGUAGAGGAAUACAGUUAAAUACAUAUUAACAUGUGCGGAACAAUCCCCAAAGCCAAGAAGCAUGUAUAAAGUACAGAUUAAGUAAAAUUACAUUCAAAGCGUGUUUCUAGUUUAUCGAUUCACGAACACGAACAAAGAACUCCAAUUGUCGUUCCUCUAUUUGGUGCACCGACACGUUCAGACCCGUCUUGAGAUUCUCAAGAGUUUUUAGCUUUUUGGGAAGAACAGUAUGAACGGAGGCAAAACUGAACUUACGUAGUUUUAGAAUAGUCUAGGGUUGGAAAUGUUAGGUUAUGAAAAAUAUAAACAAUAUAUUUCAUGCGGAAAAACCAUAAAGCCAGGAAUCCAAAUUAAUUGCCACAUAGUCAAUUAGCAUAAUUAGGAUACAUACAAUGUGAUCCGUGCCUUCCCUACCUGCUCCUGAACCGAACAAGAACAAGUUUAGGACUCAAAAUGUCGCCCCUUCGUAGAUAGUCCACAACACGUCCGGAUCCGCCUUAGAUUCAACCAACUAGAAUAUUCUCUAAGGUAUUAUGUGCACUCGGGAAACUCACAAUAAAGUUAGGCAAAUAUUAAAUUCUCUCUUGAACUUAAUGUAUUGGAAUACUUAUGAAUUGCAUUAUAAAUUGUGAUCAUGAACCACAUAUUUAUAGGGUGGAAAUAACGGAGUUAGAAUUCUACUAGGAUUCGAAUAACUAAAUCUAUUAGGAUUCUAGUUAAAUAAUAUCAUUAGAAUUUUACGUUUAAUCAAAUACCUAAGUACUUCAGAUUUAACUAAAGUAUCCAAUUUGAGUAGAAUUAGGAAAACGCGAUUACUUGACAACAAAGUAAUCCUAACCGGCCAAGGUAAUGGCCGUGUAGCACGCACAUCACGCAUACACGCGCAACCCGCAGCCACCCCUUUGCGCAGCCCGCAACACGCAGGCCCA